AGAGAUGCAUUGGGCUUAAAGCGUGCGCAGGCGGUUUUGUAAGACAGAGGUGAAAUCCCCGGGCUCAACCUGGGAACUGCCUUUGUGACUGCAAGGCUGGAGUGCGGCAGAGGGGGAUGGAAUUCCGCGUGUAGCAGUGAAAUGCGUAGAUAUGCGGAGGAACACCGAUGGCGAAGGCAAUCCCCUGGGACUGCACUGACGCUCAUGCACGAAAGCGUGGGGAGCAAACA
rnacentral:rRNA from 1 species